AAAAAAAAAAAAACUCUACAAGCAAUUACAGACAAGAACAUGAAAAACAAGCUAAAAAAGUAAUAACCUCCAAUCAAGGUUGAUAACACUCAAAGAAAACCCCUAAAAUAGAAACUUAUCUCUCAUCUACAUAACAAUUUCAAGGUCCAGAAUAAUGGUUUGUGCAUGCAAUCAUGUGGGAUUACAAAGGUAAAGGCUUUCCAGCAAGUAUCUUUUAUUCCUUGUUCGUCUGUGGAAGAAUUCUUGAGUUACAAAAGUAAAAUUAGCUUCUUUCACGCUUUUAUGAGUUCUAAUCAAUUUUUUGUUGCCUAAAUUAUCAAAUUCCAAAGAAAAAAAAAUUUAGUUUCCAACAUCCAAAUUCUAAUGUUUUCUCCACUCGACCAUAUAUGUAGGUCUGCUCCAAAAUCAUUGAUUUUUCCAAUAUGG
rnacentral:misc_RNA from 1 species